AACGAACGCUGGUGGCAUGCUUAAUACAUGCAAGUCGAACGAGAAAGCUCUUCGGUGUGAGUAGAGUGGCGCACGGGUGAGUAACGCGUAGGUGAUAUGCCUGUUAGUGGGGAACAACAUCGAGAAAUCGGUGCUAAUACCGCAUAAGCUGAACUAAUUGAAAAAACUUAGGAAAGGGGGCUUCGGCUCUCGCUGAAAGAUUGGCCUGCGUGACAUUAGCUUGAUGGUGGGGUAAUGGCCUACCAUGGCUACGAUGUCUAACUGGUCUGAGAGGAUGAUCAGUCACACUGGAACUGAGACACGGUCCAGACUCCUACGGGAGGCAGCAGUAGGGAAUAUUGCGCAAUGGGGGAAACCCUGACGCAGCAAUGCCACGUGAGUGAGGAAUGCCUUCGGGUUGUAAAGCUCUGUCCUAUAGGAAGAACUACAUCACGGUUAAUACCCGAGAUGUUUGACGGUACUAUAGAAGAAAGCACCGGCUAACUCCGUGCCAGCAGCCGCGGUAAUACGGAGGGUGCAAGCGUUGUUCGGAUUUACUGGGCGUAAAGCGCGCGCAGGCGGAUUGACAAGUCAGAUGUGAAAUCCCAGGGCUCAACCCUGGAACUGCGUCUGAAACUGUUAGUCUAGAGUCUCAUAGGGGGUAGGGGAAUUUCACGUGUAGGGGUAAAAUCCGUAGAGAUGUGAAGGAACACCGGUGGCGAAGGCGCCUACCUGGAUGAGUACUGACGCUGAGGCGCGAAAGCGUGGGGAGCAAACAGGAUUAGAUACCCUGGUAGUCCACGCCGUAAACGAUGAGUACUAGUUCUUGGGGGUAUUGACCCCUUCAGGGACGCAGCUAACGCAUUAAGUACUCCGCCUGGGAAGUACGGUCGCAAGACUAAAACUCAAAGGAAUUGACGGGGGCCCGCACAAGCGGUGGAUUAUGUGGUUUAAUUCGAAGCAACGCGCAGAACCUUACCAAGGCUUGAAAUCCUAGGAAUCCGACGUAAUGGUUGGAGUGCCCGCAAGGGAAUCUAGUGACAGGUGCUGCAUGGCUGUCGUCAGCUCGUGUUGUGAAAUGUUGGGUUAAGUCUCGCAACGAGCGCAACCCCUAUCUUUAGUUGCCAGCAUUAAGUUGGGCACUCUAGAGAGACUGCCCGGGUUAACCGGGAGGAAGGUGGGGAUGACGUCAAGUCCUCAUGGCCCUUAUGCCUAGGGCUACACACGUAAUACAAUGGUACAUACAAAGGGAAGCGAUCGCGCGAGUGUUAGCAAAUCUCAAAAAGUGUAUCCCAGUCCGGAUUGGAGUCUGCAACUCGACUCCAUGAAGUUGGAAUCGCUAGUAAUCGUGGAUCAGCACGCCACGGUGAAUACGUUCCCGGGGCCU
rnacentral:rRNA from 1 species